GAAACGGUAGCUAAUACCGCAUAACGUCGCAAGACCAAAGAGGGGGACCUUCGGGCCUCUUGCCAUCGGAUGUGCCCAGAUGGGAUUAGCUAGUAGGUGGGGUAAAGGCUCACCUAGGCGACGAUCCCUAGCUGGUCUGAGAGGAUGACCAGCCACACUGGAACUGAGACACGGUCCAGACUCCUACGGGAGGCAGCAGUGGGGAAUAUUGCACAAUGGGCGCAAGCCUGAUGCAGCCAUGCCGCGUGUAUGAAGAAGGCCUUCGGGUUGUAAAGUACUUUCAGCGGGGAGGAAGGGAGUAAAGUUAAUACCUUUGCUCAUUGACGUUACCCGCAGAAGAAGCACCGGCUAACUCCGUGCCAGCAGCCGCGGUAAUACGGAGGGUGCAAGCGUUAAUCGGAAUUACUGGGCGUAAAGCGCACGCAGGCGGUUUGUUAAGUCAGAUGUGAAAUCCCCGGGCUCAACCUGGGAACUGCAUCUGAUACUGGCAAG
rnacentral:rRNA from 1 species